CCACAAUAUCAAACCUUUCGAAAAUAUGCAUCCAGGAUUCAUAUGGAUGAAAACCAUCAAUUCGAAAGUCAUUUGACCACAAUAGUAAAAUUUGAUCAAAUGUAAUAAGGUCAAAAUUGUAACUUUGCAAUUUUCACUAAAAAUAUAAUUAAUUAUACAAUAUUUCUGCUUGCACAGGCCCCUGUGCAAGCAACAUCACCCUUAAUUAUAAUAAGGAAAGAGUAGUUAAAUAAAAACAAAAAAUCAAACACAAGGUCAUAUUCCUCACACCCUCCCCAUCCUACCCCACUCACCUGGCUAAAUCACAGCCAAAACUAAAAUUAGGGAAGGAAUUAGAAUUUAGAAAUAUACCUCAUCGUUAAGUGAUGUAGGACUUGGGGAGAUGGAAUCGUUGCUAGGUUCGAGGGCUUUAGUUGGAGGUGCGAGUGGGAUUGUCAGCUUCGAAAUCGUAGUCAGUGAAGGUGAAAUGUGCUUCUUGGUUAUUUUUCUUACUGUGAGCCGGAGCGUUAGCUAGGGUCUCAAUCAAGAGUGCUGAAGUCGGAGCUGGUGGUGUUGCCACCUUGGGAGCUGGAGAUGGUGGAGACUGGAACCGAGGUGGAAGCUGUCGGUGGAGAACUUACAAGAGCUAGAGUAGAAACUAUUGGUGGAGACUCGCCUUGUGACUUGAACAUUGUGCGCAAAAAUUGACUAGACUAAGAUAGACGGGGGUGACUCUGAUUUGGGCAGUGGGGUCGGCGUGGGGUGGGGUGAAGUGAAGA
rnacentral:lncRNA from 1 species